GAUGAACGCUAGCUACAGGCUUAACACAUGCAAGUCGCGGGGCAGCAUGGGGGUUGCUUGCAAUCCCCGAUGGCGACCGGCGCACGGGUGAGUAACGCGUAUCCAACCUGCCCUUCACCACGGGAUAACCCGGCGAAAGUCGGACUAAUACCGUAUGUUGUCCAUUGACGGCAUCCGAUUUGGACGAAAGGCUUGGCGGUGAGGGAUGGGGAUGCGUCCGAUUAGCCAGACGGCGGGGUAACGGCCCACCGUGGCUACGAUCGGUAGGGGUUCUGAGAGGAAGGUCCCCCACACUGGAACUGAGACACGGUCCAGACUCCUACGGGAGGAAGCAGUGAGGAAUAUUGGUCAAUGGGCGUAAGCCUGAACCAGCCAAGUAGCGUGCAGGAUGACGGCCCUAUGGGUUGUAAACUGCUUUUAUGCGGGGAUAAAGUGGCCCACGUGUGGGCUUUUGCAGGUACCGCAUGAAUAAGGACCGGCUAAUUCCGUG
rnacentral:rRNA from 1 species